GACGAACGCUGGCGGCGUGCUUAACACAUGCAAGUCGAACGGAAAGGCCCUGCUUUUGUGGGGUGCUCGAGUGGCGAACGGGUGAGUAACACGUGAGUAACCUGCCCUUGACUUUGGGAUAACUUCAGGAAACUGGGGCUAAUACCGGAUAGGAGCUCCUGCUGCAUGGUGGGGGUUGGAAAGUUUCGGCGGUUGGGGAUGGACUCGCGGCUUAUCAGCCUGUUGGUGGGGUAGUGGCUUACCAAGGCUUUGACGGGUAGCCGGCCUGAGAGGGUGACCGGCGACAUUGGGACUGAGAUACGGCCCAGACUCCUACGGGAGGCAGCAGUGGGGAAUAUUGCACAAUGGGCGGAAGCCUGAUGCAGCAACGCCGCGUGCGGGAUGACGGCCUUCGGGUUGUAAACCGCUUUCGCCUGUGACGAAGCGUGAGUGACGGUAAUGGGUAAAGAAGCACCGGCUAACUACGUG
rnacentral:rRNA from 1 species